GGGCUUAUAGCUCAGUCGGUUAGAGCGCACGCCUGAUAAGCGUGAGGUCGGUGGUUCGAGUCCACCUAAGCCCA
rnacentral:tRNA from 1 species